GCCUACGGGGGGCAGCAGUGAGGAAUAUUGGUCAAUGGGCGAGAGCCUGAACCAGCCAAGUCGCGUGAAGGAUGACGGCCCUACGGGUUGUAAACUUCUUUUGUCAGGGAGCAAUUGGGUCCACGCGUGGGCUUAGCGAGAGUACCUGAAGACAAAGCAUCGGCUAACUCCGUGCCAGCAGCCGCGGUAAUACGGAGGAUGCUAGUGUUAUCCGGAUUUAUUGGGUUUAAAGGGUGCGUAGGCGGACUAUCAAGUCAGCGGU
rnacentral:rRNA from 1 species